rnacentral:rRNA from 1 species
UACGAGGGGGCUAGCGUUGCUCGGAAUCACUGGGCGUAAAGGGUGCGUAGGCGGGUCUUUUAAGUCAGGGGUGAAAUCCUGGAGCUCAACUCCAGAACUGCCUUUGAUACUGAAGAUCUUGAGUUCGGGAGAGGUGAGUGGAACUGCGAGUGUAGAGGUGAAAUUCGUAGAUAUUCGCAAGAACACCAGUGGCGAAGGCGGCUCACUGGCCCGAUACUGACGCUGAGGCACGAAAGCGUGGG